rnacentral:rRNA from 1 species
UACGGAGGGGGCCAGCGUUGUUCGGAAUCAUUGGGCGUAAAGGGCGCGUAGGCGGCCAAUCAAGUCCGACGUGAAAUUCCCCGGCUCAACCGGGGGCCUGCGUCGGAUACUGCUUGGCUUGAGUCCCGGAGAGGGUAGUGGAAUUCCCAGUGUAGCGGUGAAAUGCGUAGAUAUUGGGAAGAACACCGGUGGCGAAGGCGGCUAUCUGGCCCGUAAUUGACGCUGAGGCGCGAAAGCGUGGGGAGCAAACAGG